GUUGAUCAAUGCCUCUUCAACUGAUUUAUCACUGUUAGAUCUUUGCAGAACAGGUAAAACAUGAAGAGGUGUCAAAAGAUGUCCAUAAACAAAAAGAUGGUUAAGAAGGUUGGACUGCAGGGUUUGCUGCCAGAAGAGCUACAAAGUGAACUUGCCAUUCAUUAAGGACCAUGAGAGUGUAACAUCAAGGAAGCAGAGGCCCAGAAGGCAGGGUGAGGGCACAGAACUGGUUCUGAAGCACAUGAUGUGCUGUACAGACUCAACCCUCUGUAUGCAAAGCACUUGGCAUGCAAAUGUCAGGGAGCAUUUUCUGACACGAGAGCAGCCCAAGCCACAGAAACCUUGCAGCACUUUUAGUACAUCCCAAUGCAAUGUGAGAUCACUUCCCGGCCAGGAUGUGACUGGAGUGAAAGAUGAUAAUAAUCCAAAUUCAAUAUCAUUUACCAUUUUUUUAAUGCAUCAAAUUAUUUCAUAAAUUUGAGUUUAAAAACCACCGCCUGUACAUUAUAUUAAAUUUUGAUUUUUAGUGAGAAUAAGAGGUCUUGCUGUAUGUUCUGAGCAAUACUGGUGCUUGCCACAAAAUGGUUACUACAGGAUGUCAGUUUCUUGCUUUAGCUGCCCUGAAAGCUCUUCCAUUAAAAGCAAAUCCAUCUCAUUGCCAAUAUGAGGCAGAAGAUCAUGAAGAAGUAGUUUGAUCCUUACAUACACCCCAGUGAGCCUUGAGAGGUAGAAAGAGACUGGUUUUUGUAACUCUUGUAACACAACUCAUCUUCCUUUUGACCAGAUUUUGUUUUCAGGCCUUUUAAAGAUGAAUUUAUGUGAUUUGACAUUAAAAUAAAAAUAUAGGAAUGAUGAUGGACAGUUCUAUGACUGUGUACAAAAAAUACAUUACAGGUUAACUAUUUACAGCAGUGUUUUGGGGUUAUUUCUGAAUGGCUGCUCUAGGCAUAUAUGUUGGAUAUAUUUACUCUGCACAUUUUAAUCCUUUUCACACAAAAACUGAAUAAUAAAUUCAGCCUGCACACA